rnacentral:lncRNA from 1 species
AGACGAGAGCAAAAACGGGCGAGAGAGAUGGGGGAAAAGAGAGAGGAGGUUGUGGGCUUCGGAGUGACGCGCUCAAGUUUGAAGGUGGGGCUGUGUGGUCGGAGAAAUCGGGCGGAGUCGUCGUGGGCGUGGACUCGUGCGUGGCCGGGGAUUUCGGAGCAGCAGUUGGAGACGAAGAUGGAGUCUAACAGCGGGGUCCGCCUGUCAGCGGCACGGGCAGCGUGCGCGGGCUGGUUGGGCUGCGGCCUGGCACAGGUGAGUGGGCCGGUUCGGCCCAUUUGGCCGGGCCAACCGCUGUUUCUUUUUUUUUCUUCUUUUCUUUUUUCCUUUUCUAUUUUCUGUUUUUGAAUACCAAUUUUGAUUCAAAGCUCCAAUUUAAACCAAAUAAAUUGCAACAAAAUUUGUAAAAUCAUAUUUUCGUAUGAUUCAACUUUUCGGACAAGAAUUCCCUCAAAAUAAAAUAUUUAAAAAUACUUUUGCCCAUAAACCAACCUUUAGGGCUUUUUAGCUAUUAAAAUAAUUAGUGUUUCAAAUCAAAUUCAAAAGCCAAUAAAUGGGGUAGCUUUAUAAAUGCAUUAAACCCCUCAUGGGCUAAAGUGCAAACAACCAAAAUCAAGAAGAAGCCC